rnacentral:rRNA from 1 species
AGAAUCAACGCUGGCGGCGUGCCUAACACAUGCAAGUCGCACGAGAAAGGGUAGCAAUACCUGAGUACAGUGGCGCACGGGUGAGUAACACGUGAAUAAUCUACCUCCGAGUGGGGAAUAACUGAGAGAAAUCUUAGCUAAUACCGCAUAACACUUACGAGUCAAAGCAGCAAUGCGCUUGGAGAGGAGUUCGCGGCCGAUUAGUUAGUUGGCGGGGUAAUGGCCCACCAAGACGAUGAUCGGUAUCCGGCCUGAGAGGGCGCACGGACACACUGGAACUGAAACACGGUCCAGACUCCUACGGGAGGCAGCAGUGGGGAAUUUUGCGCAAUGGGGGAAACCCUGACGCAGCAACGCCGCGUGGAGGAUGAAGCCCCUUGGGGUGUAAACUCCUUUCGAUCGGGAAGAUAAUGACGGUACCGAUAUAAGAGCCCCGGCUAACUUCGUGCCAGCAGCCGC